rnacentral:rRNA from 1 species
GAGGGGCAAGCGUUGUUCGGAAUUACUGGGCGUAAAGGGCGCGUAGGCGGCCCUCUAAGUCAGACGUGAAAUCCCUCGGCUCAACCGGGGAACUGCGUCUGAGACUGGAGGGCUUGAAUCCGGGAGAGGGAUGUGGAAUUCCAGGUGUAGCGGUGAAAUGCGUAGAUAUCUGGAGGAACACCGGUGGCGAAGGCGGCAUCCUGGACCGGUAUUGACGCUGAGGCGCGAAAGCCAGGGGAGCAAACGGGAUUAGAUACCCCAGUAGUCCUGGCCCUAAACGAUGAAUGCUUGGUGUGGCGGGUAUCGAUCCCUGCCGUGCCGAAGCUAACGCAUUAAGCAUUCCGCCUGGGGAGUACGGUCGCAAGGCUG